rnacentral:rRNA from 1 species
CGCCAGACUCCUACGGGAGGCAGCAGUGGGGAAUAUUGCACAAUGGGGGAAACCCUGAUGCAGCAACGCCGCGUGAGUGAAGAAGGUUUUCGGAUUGUAAAGCUCUGUUAGCAGGGAAGAGGAAGGACGGUACCUGCAGAGGAAGCCACGGCUAACUACGUGCCAGCAGCCGCGGUAAUACGUAGGUGGCAAGCGUUGUCCGGAAUUACUGGGUGUAAAGGGAGCGCAGGCGGGAAGCCAAGUCAGCUAUGAAAACUACGGGCUUAACUUGUAGACUGCAGUUGAAACUGGUUUUCUUGAGUGAAGUAGAGGUUGGCGGAAUUCCGAGUGUAGCGGUGAAAUGCGUAGAUAUUCGGAGGAACACCGGUGGCGAAGGCGGCCAACUGGGCUUUAACUGACGCUGAGGCUCGAAAGUGUGAGGAGCAAACAGGAUUAGAUACCCUUGUA